rnacentral:rRNA from 1 species
CGCCUCUUAGCGGGGGAUAACUAUUGGAAACGAUAGCUAAUACCGCAUAAAAGUCGAUAUCGCAUGAUGUUGACUUGAAAGGUGCAAUUGCAUCACUAAGAGAUGGACCUGCGUUGUAUUAGCUAGUUGGUGAGGUAACGGCUCACCAAGGCGACGAUACAUAGCCGACCUGAGAGGGUGAUCGGCCACACUGGGACUGAGACACGGCCCAG